rnacentral:rRNA from 1 species
UACGAAGGGGGCUAGCGUUGCUCGGAAUUACUGGGCGUAAAGGGCGCGUAGGCGGCCUGCUAAGUCGGACGUGAAAUCCCUCGGCUCAACCGGGGAACUGCGUCCGAUACUGGUGGGCUCGAAUCCGGGAGAGGGAUGUGGAAUUCCAGGUGUAGCGGUGAAAUGCGUAGAUAUCUGGAGGAACACCGGUGGCGAAGGCGGCAUCCUGGACCGGUAUUGACGCUGAUGCGCGAAAGCCAGGGGAGCAAACGGG